AUACCAAAGAUCACAACUUCCUACGAGUUUCAGUUAACUCAUGAGCCUUUACCACUUCAACACUAGUAAUCAACUAUUAAUUACUCUAGCUAGUUAUGAUGGCAAGUGAGGUUGAUGUCACUGGAAGAGUGAGCAUUAUCCGGAAGGUUCCCGCUCACGGUCCAGCAGGGGGAGCUCGGUUUCUAAGGAGCCACUUUGCACCACCGGGGGUAAGCCAAGGCCGUGUCCUGGUGGAAAGGUGGGUCAUCCUGGGAGAUGGAAGGCUCCCUGGGGCGGGAAGGAAAAGAAGAAAGCAUUGACUAAGCUCCAAAUUAACGGUGUUAAUUUUUAAUACAAGAGCCUGGCCUUGCCUUAAAGAAUCCAAGGUCCUUCGCUGGCUACUCUGUAUGGCAUCUGAUCACUUGCCAAGGAGAACGGCAGUUCUUUGUAGUGGCCCAUAGAGGCUCCCAAGUAAAAGAGAUCUGAAAUAGCAGCAUGGCUGUCUUCCUUAGUUCUUCAUUCCCUGGCAGGAAUGCUGGAGAGCAAGUCUGUUCCCUCCCCCGGACCACCUUGUCUCCCUAAAUCCUUAGUCCUGGCCCUGUACUUGGCUCUAAUGAGCUGCUUCAUUCUUGAGUUCUUGGUACCCACCCAGGUUUCGUAGUCUGCCAGUGUAGACCAUUCAACCCACUUUCUCUGCAUCAGGGUUUGGAAAAAACAAUGAACAAUCCUUUAAUCAUCUUUUGUCUUCUCUGACCACCUUUAUAUUGAUGCCUGCUUUAGAUCAAGGUCUAGGGAAAACUAAUAGGCCAAAGGAAGUGUAUGGUCAUUUCUGAUAUGCCUAGCAAAAUUCCACUAAAAGGAAACAUGAAUUCAAGUCCAGCCUGGGAUAUAUAGUGAUUUCAGAGCCAGCCUGGACUACAGUGAGAAUCUGUCUCAAAAGAAACACAGAUGUAAUUGUAACUCCUGUUAAAGACUGUGGUGAUUUGAAUGAGAAUGGCCCCUGUAGUUUAAAUAUUUGAAUUCCAGUGGUGGCUGUAUGGGAAGGCUUGGGAAGUAUGGCCAUACUGGAGGAAGUAUGUCAAUGGUAUGGACUUUGAAGUUUCAAAAGGCUCGUGCCAUUUCAAGUUAGCUCUCUCUGCUUCCUGUUUGUAGGUUGAAAUGUAAGCUCUCAGCUGUUGCUCCUGCACCAUACUGCCUGCUCCCCACCCUGACAGUGAUGGACUCUUAUCUCCUUAGAACCCAAGCCCAAAUAAAUCCUUCCUUCU
ensembl:processed_transcript